rnacentral:rRNA from 1 species
UACGUAGGGGGCUAGCGCUGUCCGGAUUUAUUGGGCGUAAAGAGCGUGUAGGCGGCCAGAUAAGUCCGCUGUGAAAUCUCGAGGCUCAACUUCGAGCUGUCGGUGGAAACUGUCUGGCUAGAGUCCGGAAGAGGAGAAUGGAAUUCCUGGUGUAGCGGUGAAAUGCGCAGAUAUCAGGAGGAACACCGGUGGCGAAGGCGGGUCUCUGGGCCGAAAUUGACGCUGAGGAGCGAAAGCGUGGGGAGCAAACAGG